UGACUAUGAACCUCACCAGAACAGCCCCGAGGAACCCUAUCUGUGUUGGUUAUGGAGAACAAGGACCAUCCAAGCUGGGAAGCACUUCUUGUGUUGUUUUUGGAAGACAGAUGCUGGGCAUAUGUCAACUGGCGGUCUUUCCUCUCAUGGAAAUCACAUUGAAACUCCCCACAACCACAGCUCUGAGCAGCGUGGGAAGACAAAGACAGCUGUGCCCGCUGGCGGCCUCAGAUGUUCCCACAGCAGCGCUACACUGCAGGGUCCCCAGGGUCAUCAAAUAUGCAGAAGGAUGUUGGAGUCCUUUGUAUCACAGCCAGAAAUGCCAUGUGCUCGGCGUUGGAUCGCACUGGGCUCUUGUUCCUGCCAGUAGAAGAUUGUGAGAAAGGGGAAAUGGCUCUUUUAUCAAACUGUAUGCUGAUAGCAGAUUACGGGUGUCUUUGUGAGCUAUAGAAUGACAGAUUUUCCAGGUUCUUGUUCAAGAAAAAUGGCUAACUGAGAACUGUACUGGAAUAAGAGCCCGACCAUUCCAGAAGAAAAUCACUGUCCUUAGUUCUCACUGAAAUCCAUUUUUAAAGGCUACAGCCUGCCUGUCCUCCUUGAGAAGAGCCAGCCUCAGCCUGCACCGCAAAGCCUGUUGGGUAGUUAGCUGCUUUUAGUUGAUUAGCUCGGGAAAACUAGAGCUACCUUGAAACUCCCUGGUGGCUGGGGAUGCCGGGAAAUGCCACUGGGUGAAAGAGCACAUGGCCACACAGCAGAUGCCUCCUCCAUUUCCCUUCAGACGUGAGACUUCUUGCAGUGGGAGAUAUACAGCUUUCAUAACUGAGAACUAGAAUAUCCAACUUGGGUGACAUUUUUUUCCUCUUCUAUUUAAGCUGUUUUUCUUUUCUUUUUUAUUUUAAAGAUUUAUUUAUUAUAUGUAAGUACACUGUAGUUGUCUUCAGAUACACCAGAAGAGGG
rnacentral:lncRNA from 1 species